rnacentral:rRNA from 1 species
UAACACAUGCAAGUCGAACGAGGUCCAUCCACUCGCAAGAGUGGUGGAGACCUAGUGGCGAACGGGUGAGUAACACGUGAGAAACCUGCCCCGAAGACCGGGAUAACUCACCGAAAGGUGAGCUAAUACCGGAUGCCUUCACGACGUCUCAUGGCGAUGUGAAGAAAUGGAUUCCGCUUCGGGAGGGUCUCGCGGCCUAUCAGCUUGUUGGUGAGGUAACGGCUCACCAAGGCGACGACGGGUAGCUGUUCUGAGAGGAAGAUCAGCCACACUGGGACUGAGACACGGCCCAGACUCCUACGGGAGGCAGCAGUGGGGAAUCUUGCGCAAUGGGCGAAAGCCUGACGCAGCGAUGCCGCGUGCGGGAAGACGGCCUUCGGGUUGUAAACCGCUUUCAGCAGGGACGAAAUUGACGGUACCUGCAGAAGAAGCUCCGGCCAACUACGUGCCAGCAGCCGCGGUAAGACGUAGGGGGCGAGCGUUGUCCGGAAUUAUUGGGCGUAAAGGGCUCCUAGGCGGUUCAGUAAGUCGACUGUGAAAAUCCAAGGCUCAACCUUGGGACGCCAGUCGAUACUGCUGUGACUCGAGUUCGGUAGAGGAGUGUGGAAUUCCUGGUGUAGCGGUGAAAUGCGCAGAUAUCAG